AGGAAUUAUAUUGAAAGGAGAAUAGUCAAAUAAAAAAUCAAGCAAUAUCAUAAAAGAAAGUACAAUAUUUGUGGAAAAUGUUGGGGACAACUUCAUAAGAGGUGAGAUGUACUCAGUACAGUUUAUCAUUAGUAUUUCAGGUAAGGUCAAGAUGCUUUGUGUUUAUACGGGAUACUGUGUUUCACUCUUUUUACAGGGAUGGUUACAAUGAAAGUUCUGCCUAUGUUUUUUGUUUUCAUUCUGAGUGCCACUGUUUCAUGUCAUUGGCUACAGUAGAGGAGAGUGCUACUUCAACACCAAAGGUAGACGGUCGUCCAUGCAAAGUGUUGUGUGUUGUGUUUUUGGUCCAAAUGUCUCCAUGGUAACGGUGGAUAUGCCCACAGGGAGCUGUGAAUACAUGGGCCAGAAGUAUGAAAUAGGAGAGAGAUGGCUCACACAGGAUUGCUACCAGUGCGUCUGCAUGUCACCAUUUGGAGUAGGAUGCUGCGACCAUGGAUAUAAUCCUGUGGACUAACCGGACUGGUGUGAGGUUGUUCGUCAGCCAGACUCCUACACCAGCGUCGGUGAUGAAAGCCACGAGGUCGUCUCAGACCAGGAAAAACAAGGUUCAAACUGACAUCUGACAAUUACCCUUUCUUAUGAUUUGGUGGCUGCUGCGUCUCUCCUCCGACAUGCAAUUUGCAUAUCUACAAAUCAAAUUAGUUUAUGUUCCAUCCCCUCGUUAUGGGUUUGGCCGCGGUGACAUGACAAUGGAAUUGUUACAAAUGAAAAUAAUUAACUGUAUGAAUAUUUGAAAUCUAUCGUAAUACUAAGUUUGAAUAAAAAAAUACUUCGUUUUGGACAAUUAUCUUGAAAUCAUCAUAUCUCGACUGUCUGGCAAAGGUGAUAUUUUUGCUCAAGAGAACAUAUGAAUAAAAAAGCUAUUAAAUAUAUAUAUAUACGU